CUACGGGACGCUGCAGUGGGGAAUAUUGCACAAUGGGGGGAACCCUGAUGCAGCAACGCCGCGUGCAGGAUGACGCAUUUCGGUGUGUAAACUCCUUUUAUAUGUCAAGAAAAUGACGGUAGCAUAUGAAUAAGCACCGGCUAACUCCGUGCCAGCAGCCGCGGUAAUACGGAGGGUGCAAGCGUUACUCGGAAUCACUGGGCGUAAAGGACGCGUAGGCGGGUUGGAAAGUCAGGUGUGAAAUCCUACAGCUUAACUGUAGAACUGCACUUGAAACUUCUAAUCUAGAGUAUGGGAGGGGGAGAUGGAAUUAGUGGUGUAGGGGUAAAAUCCGUAGAUAUCACUAGGAAUACCUAAAGCGAAGGCGAUCUCCUGGAACAUUACUGACGCUAAGGCGUGAAAGCGUGGGGAGCAAACAGGAUUAGAUACCCCCGUAGUC
rnacentral:rRNA from 1 species